GGCCGGCGCUAGGCCUAAACGAUCUCCAAACAUCCCUCUCAACCAUGCUAAUCAAAUAGCCCUUUUGCUCCCAAACAGCAAGGGAAACAAAUCCUCUCCUAAAAAUGACUUCACAAAUUCGUUCCCUUUCACUCUCCACCAUCUGCCAAAUCCUCCUUCUCACUCUUUCGAUAAGCAUCAAAUCACUCGCGAACUCACCGGAGAAGAAGACCUCCGCCUUUUUCAUCUUCGGCGACUCCACCGUUGACGUCGGAAACAACAAUUACAUCGAUACGCUCGUGAUGAGCAAAGCAAACAUGCCUCCGUAUGGACAAAAUUUCUUCAACAAGCCUACGGGCCGUUUUUCUAACGGCCGGCUUGUUGUAGAUUUCAUCGCGGAAUAUGCUGAACUUCCAUUAAUUCCACCAUCCAAGCAACCUUCUUCUAAGUUUAUUAAUGGCGCUAACUUCGCGUCGGGAGGAGCAGGCGUUUUGCCUGAAACAUAUCAAGGAUUUGUUAUUGAUUUUCCAACACAGUUGGAGCAAUUCAACAGUGUUGUGAGCUUGCUAACAGCAGAGUUGGGUGAUGCAGAAGCAAGAGAACUGAUUGCCAAUGCUGUUUACUUCAUCAGCAUAGGAAGCAACGAUUACUUGUACUAUUUAGGUAGCCCGAAAGUGCAGGAGAUUUUCACUCCUGAGGAUAUUAUUGCAAUGGUUAUUGGAAAUUUGUCUGAAGCAAUCCAAGGAUUAUAUGAGAAGGGAGCAAGGAAAUUCGGUUUCCUGAGUACAUCCCCAUUAGGGUGUUUGCCUGCUAUAAGAGCAGCAAAUCGGAAAGCAGAUGGAAGUUGUUUUGAGGAUUUCUCUGCACUUGCAUUGGCACAUAACAAUGCUUUAUAUGGUGUGCUCCUAAGCUUUGAACACAUUCUUAAAGACUUUAAGUAUGCCUUCAGCUCAGGCCACUACAGUUGGUUGCAUGAAGUAAUUCAUAAUCCAACUAAAUUUGGGUUUAAAGAUGGAAUCAAUGCUUGUUGUGGGACUGGGCUAUAUGGAGGCAUAUAUAGCUGUGGAGGAAACAAGGAAGUGGCUGAGUACGAGCUGUGUAAUUCACCAGACGAUUUUGUGUUUUGGGAUUCUUUCCAUGGAACCGAGAAGCUUGCAAAGAAAUUAGCAGAUAAACUGUGGGAAGAUCAACCGAACUCAGUCGGGCCAUACAAUCUGAAGGAGCUGUUCUUCAACCAGGAAAAGUCGAGAAUUGAAGAUAUAGUUGAAGCUAAGGAAAACCUUGAGGCGUUUGCUAUGUGAUUUAUGACAUCAAGCUAUGAGAACUUUGGUCAAGUCUUCUGUUCUUUUUGUGGCAGGAGAAAGAGCAUUCAAGCGUGACAUGUGGAGGUGGAAAGGACGAAGAUGAUAACUGAAUUUGACCAAAAAUUUAAGUAAUUAAUGAAAGGCGUGCGGGGAAAUGCACUGGUAUGUUUAAAUUUCUUAUAACCCGGCAACUAAAAUAAUCAUUGAAAGAGUGCUGCAAUUGUAUUUUAGCAGGCUGCAUCCAAGUUUGCAAAAUUAGCUAUGUAUUUAAUUA